GGCGACGUGGCCGAGUGGCUUAGGCAAUGGUCUGCAAAACCAUGUACACCGGUUCGACUCCGGUCGUCGCCUCAA
rnacentral:tRNA from 1 species